rnacentral:rRNA from 1 species
UACGGAGGGGGUUAGCGUUGUUCGGAAUUACUGGGCGUAAAGCGCACGUAGGCGGAUUGGAUAGUCAGAGGUGAAAUCCCAGGGCUCAACCCUGGAACUGCCUUUGAAACUCCCAGUCUUGAGGUCGAGAGAGGUGAGUGGAAUUCCGAGUGUAGAGGUGAAAGUCGUAGAUAUUCGGAGGAACACCAGUGGCGAAGGCGGCUCACUGGCUCGAUACUGACGCUGAGGUGCGAAAGCGUGGGGAGCAAACAGG